rnacentral:rRNA from 1 species
AGAGUUUGAUCAUGGCUCAGAUUGAACGCUGGCGGCAGGCUUAACACAUGCAAGUCGAGCGGGGAAGAGUAGCUUGCUACUUUACCUAGCGGCGGACGGGUGAGUAAUGCUUAGGAAUCUGCCUAUUAGUGGGGGACAACAUCUCGAAAGGGAUGCUAAUACCGCAUACGUCCUACGGGAGAAAGCAGGGGACCUUCGGGCCUUGCGCUAAUAGAUGAGCCUAAGUCGGAUUAGCUAGUUGGUGGGGUAAAGGCCUACCAAGGCGACGAUCUGUAGCGGGUCUGAGAGGAUGAUCCGCCACACUGGGACUGAGACACGGCCCAGACUCCUACGGGAGGCAGCAGUGGGGAAUAUUGGACAAUGGGGGGAACCCUGAUCCAGCCAUGCCGCGUGUGUGAAGAAGGCCUUUUGGUUGUAAAGCACUUUAAGCGAGGAGGAGGCUACCGAGAUUAAUACUCUUGGAUAGUGGACGUUACUCGCAGAAUAAGCACCGGCUAACUCUGUGCCAGCAGCCGCGGUAAUACAGAGGGUGCAAGCGUUAAUCGGAUUUACUGGGCGUAAAGCGCGCGUAGGUGGCCAAUUAAGUCAAAUGUGAAAUCCCCGAGCUUAACUUGGGAAUUGCAUUCGAUACUGGUUGGCUAGAGUAUGGGAGAGGAUGGUAGAAUUCCAGGUGUAGCGGUGAAAUGCGUAGAGAUCUGGAGGAAUACCGAUGGCGAAGGCAGCCAUCUGGCCUAAUACUGACACUGAGGUGCGAAAGCAUGGGGAGCAAACAGGAUUAGAUACCCUGGUAGUCCAUGCCGUAAACGAUGUCUACUAGCCGUUGGGGCCUUUGAGGCUUUAGUGGCGCAGCUAACGCGAUAAGUAGACCGCCUGGGGAGUACGGUCGCAAGACUAAA